AACGCACGAGACCUGCGGACCUGCGGAAGGAUCAUUAUUGAAAUAAACUUGAUGGGGGUUGUAGCUGGCCUUUAUGGCAUGUGCUCGCCUUUAUCAUCUUUAUAUUUCCACCUGUGCACUUUAAUGUAGUCAAGGAAAAUAUGUAGGGAAAGUUAAAUCGUUUCCUUCUUUCCUUGUUCUACACUUUUCUUCAUACACUCCCAAGUAAUAGAAUGUUAAAUGGGCCUUUGUGCCUAUAAU
rnacentral:misc_RNA from 1 species